AUUGAACGCUGGCGGCAUGCUUUACACAUGCAAGUCGAACGGUAACAGGCCUUCGGGUGCUGACGAGUGGCGAACGGGUGAGUAAUGCAUCGGAACGUACCCAGAGGUGGGGGAUAACGCAGCGAAAGCUGUGCUAAUACUGCAUGUGAUCUGAGGAUGAAAGCGGGGGACCGAGCAGCAAUGUUUGGCCUCGCGCCUUUGGAGCGGCCGAUGUCGGAUUAGCUAGUUGGUGGGGUAAAGGCCUACCAAGGCGACGAUCCGUAGCUGGUCUGAGAGGACGACCAGCCACACUGGGACUGAGACACGGCCCAGACUACUACGGGAGGCAGCAGUGGGGAAUUGUGGACAAUGGGCGCAAGCCUGAUCCAGCAAUGCCGCGUGCGGGAAGAAGGCCUUCGGGUUGUAAACCGCUUUUGGCAGGAACGAAACGGUGUCCGCUAAUACCGGGCGCUAAUGACGGUACCUGCAGAAUAAGCACCGGCUAACUACGUG
rnacentral:rRNA from 1 species